CGGUGCUGCAGGAGAUGGGGGAAGCAGGUUGCUGGCGGGGGCUGCUGAGACACCAUCUUCUUUGGCUUGUGGGGAAACAGCAGUGAGCUGAAGCUGGCAAUGUGAUGGGGAGAAAAAAAACGGUGACACCCCAACACUGCAGCACCCACGUCUGUUACGCUCUCCCCAAGCAGCAGCUUCAGCCCCCUCCUGCCCCAACCCCCACCCAUCACUCGGGGCCGCGGGGAGGGGGGGAGGGAGAGAUGUUGCCCGGGCCGCAUCUCCAACAUUAACAUUUCAUGGGCUCUGCAGCAUCCUCCUGCACGGAAUCUCUCUGGAAAGCUCCAGCACAAAGGAGCUGUACGGCGGCCAAGAGAGCACGCAGCCCACGGUCCCCGAGCCGGCUGCCACCUGGAAGUCAGAGUCCUCAUCAGGAAUAGGGCUCGAGACAGGUAAAUGGAUUCUUGCCUCAUUUGCAGUGCUCCUGGAAGGGAAGCGGGCAAAAUGCUCCUUUGCUUCUUUGUCUUGAAACCACCAUUUUCCUCCAGGCCUGGUGAUGUUAGGUGGGGGUUGUAGAGGACAGUGGCUGAGGGUAGCCCUGCUCUGACACAGCUCUUCCCUCUGCAAAGAGUUAAUGUGACAGCUGCCGCCAGGCUCCUUUUGGGGAGCCAUUUUCUCUCCCUCAUUGUUCCACUGCCUUUGUGUGCGUGUCCAUCUAAUCCCGGGAGCCGGGAGGAAUGAGACCCCCAACCCCAUGGGGACCCUUCCCCAUUACAGCUCUGCUUCAGAAAGCAGCGGCCGAGCCGUGCGGGGACAAUGGGCGGCAGUGGGGUGAGGGACAGCAACAAUGAACCUUGGGCAGCAAACAGCAGCUGCUCGGCAGCUGAAGCGCGCAGUCAUCACAGAGCAGCCCUGCUGGGACUUGGGGCCAUUGUUGCUUUUCCCACGUUGGCCCCGUGCUGCUCGUGCCCGGCGGGACGUGGCCAGGAGGGAUGUCUGCCUCUGCUGCAGCCCACGAGCAGAGAGGUGCGGGCACAGCGGUGGGUCUGAGGGCACUGCAUGGCAGUGCCACGCUCCCCUGAGGCAGUGCUGCAAUGGGGACCUCGGUGCUGAUCCGACAGCACGGCGCUGCUCCUUGCUCUCUUGCUGCGUUGCUUGCUUUCUUUUGCAGCUGCUAAUGACUGACCUGAGGUCUGUUCACACACAGUCCCCUGCGCAGCCCUUGCAGAGGAACGGUCGGACGGGAUGGGGGACGCUGCACGAUGCCCGUGUAGCCAGAUGGCACAGCACCAUCGGCCCUGUGGCUCUGCCACAGCUCUCACCCGAGGGCACUGGGGGACAGGGACGUGACAGCCGCCUGCACAUGGACACUGGAGCUGCCAGCCCCAGUGGAGCCACCUGAUGCCAGCCCGGUUGCUGUGGGAACACAGCUGAAGAGAUGGUGGUGGCAGUGCCUGAGGACACGGGACUGCCUUCACACGGUUCUGCCAGGUGCUGGGGCCCUCUUCUUCCUGCAAACACUCCGGCACUGCUGGGGCUGUCCCCUCCUUGGAGCCCAUCUCUCAUCCUCAUGGUGCCAAGGCUGCACGUCGCAGGGCGUACCCAGGCACUGUGCACCUCACCAGCACGGUGACAGCAGCAGGUCCCCGCCAAGCAUUUCAUCAGGAGGGCUGCACUGCGCUCACCCAUCCACUGACACCUUCCCACAUCCCAUAACCCAGCGGCAAAGCCCAAAAACGCCUCCUGCUCUCCUAAGCCAUACCCGGGGAGGUGCUGCCUUGAGGGGGGACUAACCGUGCCCGGCUGUGCAUGCGUGUGCUCUGCUCCUCUCCAGCACUAACCAGGCCCCCUGGGCACCGUGUGCUCCUUGUGAUCACUAACCCACUAACACACCCGCGCAUGCCCUACUAACAGCCCUGCAGCCACUAACAGCCCACAGGCCUUAAAGGGGAACGGAAAAGCUGGGUAAGUACGGGGCUGUACGGGGCACUGUGGGGCUGGGGGACCCAUGCAGAACGUGGGGCAGGCAGGGCAGGGUGAGCAGCCCCUCUGCAUGCCCCCUGCAUGGGGCUGCUCUCUGCAGCAGUGGGGCUGCGAUGCCCGGAGUGCUGCAUAUGGUUCUGCUGCUGACUGGGAGGCCAAAAUGGUUUUAUCAGCAGAAGCUUUUCAGUUCCUUUUUAAGCCAGUGGAUCUCUCUGUUACUAACACGUUCCUGAACUGAAUUAAACAAACUAAUCGUUGCUGCUUUUCUCUUCAUUUCUCUUCUAGUGUAUAUGCUCUCUAAGUGCGACUGACGAUGCCAUGCUUCUCUGUACUAACAGCCUGCACUAACCUCUCCUUACUUGUUUCCCUAUUGCCUCUAACAAUUGUUCUUCGCACUUUAACUUUCCAGUGCUGUUGGCCAUGACAGAUGAGCAGUGGUCCCCACCCACCCAGGGACCCAUGGCUGCUGACCCCACACUGCCAUUGGGUGCAGCGCAAAGGGAGAGGCUCAGGCCAGGGCUGAGGGUUUCAAAAUUUCCCUAUUGGUCUGUUGUUUGCUGAGAAAUUUCACGUGGUUCAUUGAGGAAAAGAUACUGAGGGGAAAGGGGACAAUGCCAAAACCACGAGCAACCACUGGCAAUUGCCACAAGAAUCCAGCAAAGCUGCCCAGAAGGCAGCACGAUGGCCACGAGCCCCCCAGCCCCAGUUCACCUGUCAUGGAAACAGCCUCUCUGCAUUGGUGCUCACAUGCAGGGCAGCUGCAGGCUCUGCUGGCUCUCUUUGCUCCCUUUUUCUCUCUGCAGUGAUCUCGUGACCCCGAUGCAUGCAGAAAGGUGGUGCCAGCAGUGUGCUCCUAACUAACCACGAGGUUCUGAGGGCUGAGGCUGCCCACGGGUUGGUACUCACAAUGUCCUGCCAGCCACUGAUGGUGGCAGUGACAGUGAUGGUGAUGAACUGGCAAAGUCAGCGUGCUGCUAAUGCUGGGGCUGGGCUGCAGCCCUUGCUUUGCUUUCCAUAGGUCUGAAAUUAGGUAAAACUCCCCUGCAUUUGCCUGGGGUUGAGGCUUCAGGAUCCAGCCAUCUGCCCAGGUUUAGCAUGCGGUGUCUGUGGGGCAUUGCCAGCAUGCACAGAGCACAGCUCGCCCUGCAUCCAGCAGAUGAUGGUUGUCCCUAUGCUGCCUUCCAUCCCUGGGACAGGGGUCUGGCUCCUGGACCUGCAGCUGGGGAGCACCAGGAUGGCUGCCCUCUGCACCCCAGCCAUGAGUGGGGAAUCAGCAGCUGAAGCACCCACAGGCAAGCAGCUCCCCACCUCCUCCACAUUAACCACUAACAAUCCACUCCCUGCCCUCAGCCAGGCUGUGAUCAGGAGGAGUUUUUGGGCUGAUGCUCAUAUGUUCGAUUGAGGAGGGUGCCUGCUUCUUCCUGAUGGGGGAGCAGAGACAUUGGCUCUGCAUGGAGCAUAGGAGCGGAAUGGGGAAAGGAGCAGGAGGAAGAGGAGGACGGGAGGAUGGGCCAGGUCCAGGGCAGGGCAGGGAUCCCCCCCUACCAGGGCAGUAGGUUCAGGGCUUGGGCAGAAACCUGCAGCAACGAGCGCUGCUUCAUCCCUACACCGUGAGCACCAUGAGCACUUGUGUACUCCAAGCCCUGCCUGCCUGGAGCUGCAGAGAUGAAUCCUCCUUUGCUCUACCCCUGCCACCUCAGCACUCCCUAUCCCAGCCCUGUGUUUCCCUUGUCUGGGAGACAGUCUGUCUGUCUAUUCCCAUUUGAGACUUGCCUGGAGAUAGGUGGUGGUAAAGGGGGGUGUGAGACCUCCAGUAGUGUUGUGGGCAGAGGUCCAGACAGCAUUUGGCCCCGGGGUACCCCAUCCUGCCCAGGACACACCUUAUACCAGGGCAUGAGAACUUCACUGUGUGUCAGCUCCCUCCUGCUCUAGCUGUGGCUCGAAGGUCUGUGGGUGGGAGGGCAUCAGAGCCAGACACAGGGGUGCUGAGUCAAGCAUGUCCCCAACAGCUUGCUCAAUGCCUGGUGUUCCCGCAGCCCUGCAGUGCUGCUGGGUGCAGGGCUCAGUGCUGGCACGGGGUAGGGAUGCUCUGGGGAAGGGGACGUGGAGCUGAGGAUGUCCUUAUUGCCUGUAAUGUCUGCUGUGAACAUGGCAAGUGUGCAAACACCUGUGUGUGGU
rnacentral:lncRNA from 1 species